rnacentral:rRNA from 1 species
CCUACGGUGAGCUGCAGUGAGGGAUAUUGGUCCAUGGCCGAGAGGCUGAACCAGCCAAGUCGCGUGAGGGAAGACGGCCCUACGGGUUGUAAACCUCUUUUGUCGGGGAGCAAAGCGAACCACGUGUGGUUCAUUGAGAGUACCCGAAGAAAAAGCAUCGGCUAACUCCGUGCCAGCAGCCGCGGUAAUACGGAGGAUGCGAGCGUUAUCAGGAUUUAUUGGGUUUAAAGGGUGCGCAGGCGGAGGUGCAAGUCAGCGGUAAACUUGCGGGGCUCAACCCCGUACUGCCGUUGAAACUGCAUCCCUUGAGUGCGCGAGAAGUAUGCGGAAUGCGUGGUGUAGCGGUGAAAUGCAUAGAUAUCACGCAGAACUCCGAUUGCGAAGGCAGCAUACCGGCGCGCAACUGACGCUCAUGCACGAAAGCGUGGGUAUCGAACAGGAUUAGAUACCCCGGUAGUC